UAGAAGCCUGGUGGGAAUACAGUGACUGUCUGGAGGGUAUCCAACAGCUUCAGCGCCUACAUCAGAUCUUAACUACUUAAAGGUAACUCAUAUCCACUGGAGGAUUAGCACAAUAUCUGCAGAGUACAUCAACUGUAGAUUACAAUCAGUAAAUUUACAUUAUUAACAAAGGGGGGGAGGGGAUGUGUAUAUAUAUGCCGCAGUUAUCUCUACAGAAAACUGUCUGCAGGGCCAGAACUCGUGAUGAGACCCUUGAAGUCGCGGCAUUGGAAAAUCUGGGACACGACAAAAUAAAGUUUUUAAUCACUUCAUCGAUUAAAUCACAGUGAAAACCACAGGUAGAUAAAGAUUAGAGGUUAGCGAAGGAUACACAGGAGAUAUUAGAACAAUGAUAACAAACCCGGCUUUUAAAAUGAUGUUCUUCACACUAAAAUGCUACCACACUGCUACUUCAGAGCCCUCGCCCAUGUCUGAUCUAGUGUUUCACAAACAACUACAACGAAAAGGUGCUGACUCAUCCAGGUGGGAAUCAACGACUGAGGGUUUUUUUUUUUAUUUUUCUUCUUUUUUUAAGGAUAAUAUAAGAACAAUCUGUCUGCUUUCAAAGCUCGGGCUACCUGAGGCUACAGCCGCAUCUUUGACUAAACAAUCACAAGCUAUUUAAUUUGUUAACCAAAUAGUGAUGCCCGCACUGCCUUACAGCUGCCGCUCCGCUGCGGCACAGCACUUCCAGAGUUUCAAAAUCAGUCCCUUACAAAGAUUAUCAAAAGACAGAUGGUGCGGCAUCACUGACUUCCCUGUAAAGUCGGUGUGUUUUGUUUAAGCUUUAAUCGCUACAGCGUGACUUUGUUUUUUCCUCCUUUCUCCAGCUCACAGUGGUUGCAGGUGUCGAGCAGAUACACAGUAUAGUUGCACAGAGCGAAAGCACAUCUCAUUGCUUCCCUCCACAGCAACUCUGGUGAGAAGUGAGGUCUUUGCAAAGCAAGAAACUUUUUUUUUUAUCCCCCUGCUCUAAAUUCUUUUAUUUGGCACAUAUUUCCUCCUCGCUGUGUCGACUGUGCCUCCGUAAUCCCCUUUUCCGUUUUAGCACCCAUGGCUUGGUAAGCCCCCCUUUCAUCCUCCUUUAGCCGGCCCGUACGCUCAAACACAAGAUAUCAUGGAGUCAUUUUGAGCCACGGAGGAAGAGACAGUCUGAAACAAGGGGACAUAACUGGGAUUCAAAGGGUUUCCUCUCUGCUGCGCGUAUGAGUUCAUGUGCGCAACACAAAAUCCCGGAGCCUCUCCGUGCAUUUGAGGGGGAUUUAACCAGAGAGGUCAUUUUUUCUUGGGAAGUUGAGAGGCGAUCCCUCCGCUGCUCUCUAGUCCACCAGUUUGGAGGCUUGUGAUGAGAUCUCUUCAAGAGUUUGAGUGUCUCUGUGUUGGAAAUCAUUCCAAACGUGUUGGCCGGAAUAUGAAGGAACUGAUUAAAGUCUGUCUGUUCCCUUCUCUCCAAUCUAACAUCCCAUGGACACCUCCCCUCACACCCUCCCCAGAUUUAGAGUAGCAGCAUUUGCAUAUUUUAUUCUCUUCCAUUAGCAAAAAAGAAAAAAGGAAA
ensembl:lncRNA